rnacentral:misc_RNA from 1 species
AAUCUGCAUGAUAAACAAAAAACAUUAGUUGGACCUGAACAUUCAAAAGCCUUAUAGAAGAAACCAAACCAAAUGAUCUUAUGUCCCCAGUGAACCUACAAAAUGAUCUUAUGCCCCAAAUAAACCUAUAUGACAGCAUACUUAAUGAUAACCAUAAAUUUAAAUUUAUACUAUAUUAUUUUCCAAAUGCAUUGCUUGUAUCUUCUAAAAUCACAAUAAUAAAGAAAAUCAAAUUUCCAACUUGAAGAUGUUGAACUCAAUCUCCCAUAAUCAGCCUCAAAUACAAUAAGUAAAUUAACAACAAAAACAAUUUAAGACAUUGGCAUGAAUCAGGAAAUAUAAUACCUUCUCAAGAGCAUUUUGUACCUAAAUAAUUGUUGACUAACGCUAGAUGAUCCAAUAGUAACUAUUUUUGUUCCCUAUAUUGAAAAUGAUUCUUGUUACAUCCAUCAUUUUUAAUGCUGGAAUUUCUGCCGAUAAUUGGAAUUUCCGGUGAAACUUAGGGUUUUGCGGAUAGUGGAAUAGUGGUAAGAGUUUUAAGUGUGUUAUAAGUGUUUGUUAGAAGGCUUAGAAGGUUGAGACUUGAGAUUUUAGAGUUAAAUAUGGAAGAGAAGAAAGAACUUGCGGCUAACGAAAGCCCCUCGGGUAACAUGAGUAUUUAUAGAACUAUAUAGACGAAAAUUGAAUAA